GGCGGUAUGGUGUAAGGAUACACGCGGGAUUUUCUUGGGUGUUCUAAACGAAGUGUAAUUCCCGAAGUCCUUGUUCGAAUCAAGGUACUGCUC